AUGAAACACCAAGAUUUUGAGGUAUGCAAGCUUUCUUUUCAUGCUUUUGGUCGUGUGUGGCCAAUUUAUAGUGCUAUUGUGAUGUAGCCCGGUGAGGCAAUAAUAUUAUGGGCUGUUGUGACAGGUUGGUAGUGCCAUAUUAUAGGGGAAACUCUGGCGAAAUUUUUGUAGAAUCCCGAAUGUUUAACAUUCGAGGACGAAUGUUCCAAAAGAGGGGAGAAUGUUACACCUUGGAAAUUUCCCUGUUAGCGUACCACGAAUAGACCCAUGAAGGGUAUGACGUACACGACAUGUUGACGAGUAAGAAGUAAUAUUUAAUGAUUAUAAAUGAGAUUUCAAAGACAUUGGAGGUAGGAGAUGAAAGUUGUUAAGGAAAGCAAGGUAUAUGUUGUAUGUCGUGCAAGAAUUACGAGUAUCGAAUUAAUGACGGCUUAAUGACAUUUUGGAGAAGAGUUAUAAUGUCCCUUAUGUAUGCAUGCCUCACGUUUCACGUUCAAGUUCAUGUAUUCGCUAUUCAUGUCUCAUGUUUGGGCACUGAUGUUUUCAUGAAACUAUGUCAUGUCAGUUUCCAUGCCCCAUGUCAUGUUAUGUCUCAUGUUUCACGCUCAUGUCAUGUAUCCAGCGCUCAUGUUUCAUGUCUCAUGCUCCAGUAUCCAUGUUUCCAUGUAAUCACACAUUCAGUUCUCAUGAUCCAUGAUCAUGCUCCCACGUAACCAUGUCAAGCUCUUAUGUUUUAUGUCAUCUUUCAUUCAUGUUCAGGCAUUCAAGCCAUGUCCAGCCAUAUCCUUAACCAUGACCCAUCAUUCGAGGACGAAUGAUCCCAAGGGGGAGAUAUUGUAACACCCCGUACCUUUAACGAAAGUUUUGACCACGAUCCUAGACUUAGAAAAUCAGAUAAAGAAUGUGGGAAUUGAAAUUUUCCUGUUCAGUUGUGAUAUGGUGGUUUACGCCCAUGAACAGUGCCCGUAAACUGAAACCAAGAAUUUCUGAACAUUCUGGAAUUUGACAUUUUGAGGUCAUAUGGUUAAAUACGGACCGUAU